GCACCGCCCCGAGCGCUGCGGUUCCGGCAGCGCGCGAGGGUCAAGGUUGCCAGCGUGUGGUGAGAGCGCGGGAGAACACCGGUAGGAAUACAUCCGAGGGUUGAUGAGGUCAGCCUCAGUUGUUACUGGCCGUCUUGCCACCCUGUGGGGAGAGUUUGACAGAGCAAUGGAAGAGCCAAGAAGUGAACAAGAGAUUGAAACCCGAUGCCAUCACUUGAGCCCUGGUGGUAGACAUGCCUGAAGCCAUUUUUUAUUUUCCUUUUUCAGAAACAACUGGACAAAUAUGUCAAUCCCAUGGGAAGAACAGCUAAAGAAAAUCUGGCUAAAUUCAUGCUUAGCCUACAAGAUAUCAGGAAAACAGCAACAGUCUUUCACUGAUACUACUGAAACUGAGUCCCCGACCUUAUCACUUGUAUAUUGUCUAAAUGUGUAGUAAAAAAUCAGAUGGCUGUGUGGUCUGGUAAAAUCGGGCAGAGUACAAAUUGAAAAAGAAUUUUUCACACAGAGGAAGUGUUUGAAAUGUCUGCAUAAAGUGUUUGGACAAACACUUUUUGUUUUUCUCCUGCUAAU